AAUCCAUAGGUUAAUGAGGCGAACCGGGGGAACUGAAACAUCUAAGUACCCCGAGGAAAAGAAAUCAACCGAGAUUCCCCCAGUAGCGGCGAGCGAACGGGGAGGAGCCCAGAGCCUGAAUCAGCAUGUGUGUUAGUGGAAGCGUCUGGAAAGGCGCGCGAUACAGGGUGACAGCCCCGUACACAAAAGCGCAUGUGCUGUGAGCUCGAUGAGUAGGGCGGGACACGUGGUAUCCUGUCUGAAUAUGGGGGGACCAUCCUCCAAGGCUAAAUACUCCUGACUGACCGAUAGUGAACCAGUACCGUGAGGGAAAGGCGAAAAGAACCCCGGCGAGGGGAGUGAAAAAGAACCUGAAACCGUGUACGUACAAGCAGUGGGAGCACCCUUUGGGUGUGACUGCGUACCUUUUGUAUAAUGGGUCAGCGACUUAUAU
rnacentral:rRNA from 4 species